rnacentral:misc_RNA from 1 species
GUUUAAUCUCAGAUUAAUCCCGAUUGAAUUUUAAAAUCUUAACCCUCUAGCUUCACCAGAUUUUAGACCGGGCCAAGUCUGAAAACAAUGUAUAUGAUAGAUCAUAUGUAGGAAAGUUUUCUUGAAAGGUUAAUGUUGAAAGCCCUUCUCCUGUUAACAUUUCAAUACUCAUAAUUGUAAACAGACAUAUGCAUAAUUUAGAAAUGCUCUGAUUAGCAACCAAAUGCCAAUAGUUAGAUU